rnacentral:rRNA from 1 species
UACGGGGGGGGCAAGCGUUGUUCGGAAUUACUGGGCGUAAAGGGCUCGUAGGCGGCCAACUAAGUCGGACGUGAAAUCCCCAGGCUUAACCUGGGAACUGCAUCCGAUACUGGAUGGCUUGAAUCCGGGAGAGGGAUGCAGAAUUCCAGGUGUAGCGGUGGAAUGCGUAGAUAUCUGGAGGAAUACCGGUGGCGAAGGCGGCAUCCUGGACCGGCAUUGACGCUGAUGAGCGAAAGCUAGGGGAGCAAACGGG